rnacentral:rRNA from 1 species
CAGCAGCCGCGGUAAUACGUAUGUCACAAGCGUUAUCCGGAUUUAUUGGGCGCAAAGCGCGUCUAGGCGGUUAAUUAAGUCUGAUGUGAAAAUGCGGAGCUCAACUCCGUAUUGCGUUGGAAACUGGUUAACUAGAGUACUGGAGAGGUAAGCGGAACUACAAGUGUAGAGGUGAAAUUCGUAGAUAUUUGUAGGAAUGCCGAUGGGGAAGCCAGCUUACUGGACAGAUACUGACGCUAAAGCGCGAAAGCGUGGGUAGCAAACAGGAUUAGAUACCCCUGUAGUCCCUGUCUCUUAUACA